CAGCCCCCACCACCGCUCUUGCAGAAUGGUCAGCGCACCGACCUCCACACCACUCCAACCCAUCCGCUCUUGCUCCACCCCCUCUCUCACUACCACUAUCGUCCAUCCGCCCUCCCUUUUGUUUGUUUUUUCCCUCUCUGCUUCUGAAGCCUGCUUCUCGUAUUAGCCGAUCCCGUGAUCACCUUGUUGGGUCGUGUGCGCGUGCGUGUGUGUGUGUGUGUCCCUCUACUGUCGUCUUGGUGCCUGAAUGCGGGUGUGCGCAUGUGCGCACGUUACCAUAUCUUUUUACGUUUUCGUUUUCCGCUUGAGUCGAUUCUGGAGAGCAAAGUCUUUGCGCGUGCGUGCGUAUGCGCUGCUUUUGGCGCCCGCCCACCCACCAUACCGCCUCCUACGCACAGCCCCCCUUUUUUUCCGCUUGAUUGUCUCUUUCCGUUAUGGAUCUGCGUAGCAGCAAAGCUGAAAGACGUUACCCUCCUCCCGAGCACCCCACUCCCUCUUCGACCCGCUACCGCACCCCCCCCUCCCCCCCUCCCUCCCUCCCUCCCUCCCCUGCGGCCUACGGCCCGCUUCUUUCCCCUGCCUUUCGCGUCAGAGUGGACGAUCUCGAAGGCGAAGAGGAACACGGACCACAAGCAAGCGCACUCGUCCACCCACACCUGCUGCACACGCGUCACUCCCCCCCCUCCCACCUUCACAGACACACAUAAAUAAAGAUAUAUAUAUAUAUAUGUUUAUCCGUAUACACCCCACCAUAUUGCCGACGUGAGCGACUGUCUUGCUCUCGCUCUCUCCUUCUCUCUGCGUGUUUCUUCUUUCAAGCUCUGUAUCUCCACUGACCUCUCCCCAACCUCCUAUCCGCUGUGACGCGCUCAUACGCACACAUUGCUAGCCAUCACCCGUCUCCUUCUGUUGGCUUGUUCUCUCUCCGCCACCUCCCCGCUCACACCGUGCACACCCGGUGUCAGGGAAGGGAGACCACGGCGGACGAGCAGCAGGGAAAAAAGGUGGAAAGGCCUCUUCCUCCAUAGCAGAUACACAGCGACCUUGUCACACACGCACACACGUUCUCUACCGAUUUGCCUCUCGCGCCUCGCCUCGCUCCUUCUUUUUUUCUUGUUAUUAUCCGCUCGCUUAUACAUACACACGCAUCUAUAUAUAUAUAUAUCGACAAGUAACUUCUGGCCUGAUUUUUUUUCCAAACAUUUUGUUGUUGUUCCGUUUUUUUUUAUUUGUGUUGUUUAUUAUUAUUAAUGUAUUUGUUGUGCAUGCGUUUGUGUGUCACGUUUGCUGGCUAAGCUAUUCGUCGUUUUCCUCUUUUUCGUUGUCGUCAUCGUGGUCGUGGUGGGCUGGCUGCACCUGUCUCCAGCUCUCUGGUUUUUGUUUGGUGGGGGUUUCUUUCUGCGUUUCGGUUGUCUUCGUUUUUCCUCCUCCACGCCGGGUCUGUCUGAGCACACGAAAAAAAAAACGUUUUUCUUUUCAGUUCUUUGUUGUUGUUGGAGGGGUUUCGGCGUAUUCAUUCAUUGUUGGCGUGCGCCAUACGUGUGUGUGUGCGUGUCUAUUUUUUGUGUGUGUAGGGGGGGAGUUUGCUUCGUUUUUUUUGUUGUUUGUGUUUCGCUUUUCGUGUUGCAUCCCCUUCUCCCGUCUUCCUCCUCCUCCUCCUCAUCCUCCCCCACCCGCCGCCCUUCGCUUCUAUUGCAGGAAGGAAGGACGGGAUAAAGGGAGACACGAGAACGCGGGAGAGGGUUGCAUCGCGCGCACACACAGCGCUUGCUGGCAAAGCAGCGACCAAACGAAGAAAAAAAAAGAGAGGUGAGGGAGGCGCGUACGUUUUCAUUCCCCACCAUACAUUGCCCUCUGUCGAUUGGUUGUUGUUGCCGUCGUUUCUUCUCCUCGGUGGCUCCCACGGUUGUCGUGCACCCGUCGAGGCGGGGGUAGGAGAGAGAGAGAGAGAGAGACAGCAUUGCUACCCCGCGUUGUCGCGGUCGUCCUUGCUUGCCUUGUCGCGUAACGAGGGUUUCGGCAGCUCUGCCUCUCCCCCUCGGCCGCCCACGUACCCUGCUGCAGCAAUGCAGCGUCAGUCGUCAGCCAAAUCGGGUUGUCGGAACGCUUCCGAGUUGUCGCCAGUGCGCAGCAGUGCUUAUGAGAUGAGGCACAGAGGAUCGCCGCCACCGAUGCGCAGCGGCUCUCCACUCUCGCCGCCUGCAAUAUCCGUGAAGCGUGCCAUCAGCAACGGCAGGCCGCGUGCACUCUCAGGCCGCACGAACCAAGGUGGCGGCGAGGAGCAGAACAACGACGAGGGAGAAAACAGCGGUAGCAGGGGCCCAGCAAGGAGGACAUCUCGCGGCGGUGCGACGGGGUCAACGUCGGCUAUAGCGACAACCUGCGCUGCGCUUAUCGUUUCGGAUGUGACCAGCUCGUCUUCCUUAGCACCCUCCUCUGUCCCUCCACUCAGUCACAGCAGCAUCAGUGAAAUUUCAUCCGCCCAUAACGCUCAUAGCAUGUCUCCGGGCGGCAGCAGCAGUCGUCAGGUCACUGGCAUGCAUAAGAGCCUCCUCGUCUUUCCUCCGCGUGUGUUCCGCGCCGCUGGUAUGCCGCCAACCUCCGCAACGACGCCGGCCUCCGCCUCCGACGCGCUCGUGACACCGCCGGCACCGGCUCGGCUGGCAAUGAUCGUCACUGACACUGGCCACCCCGUGACGCCUCUGCCGUCCCCGACUGUCGUCGCAGCAACGUCGCCCCUGAGCCCAGAAGGCGUUGCGCUGCCGAAUCAGCUCACCUACUUUUCCAUUGGCGGGUCGCGCCGGCGCAACAGCAUCAGCGUGCCAACCAGCCCCUUUCAGGUCGAGGGAGACAGAGCAGAAAACUCCUUUAUCGAUGACAUCGUCGGCGGUGCUGGUGAGCGUUGGCUGGUGGACCUGCAUCACAGAGCUGCGUCAGAUCACAACAGCCACGCUGGCGCGCGAUUUGAGCGCCCGACCGCAGGCGGUAACGUCACCGCCACCAUCGCGGACUCCGUAGAAAGGGCGACCACGCGGUCUUCGCGAAACGCACAUUGCCCUCGCGAAGACGACGGCACUGCCUCUCACGCAAAUUCGGCAGCGAGCACGCGCUCCUCCUCGUCUCCGCCGUCGUCGCCCUCGCACACGGCGCGCAGUUCAGCGGCAUCUCGGUCAUCUGCAGCAGGGGCCGCCGCGUCUGCCGCCAGCGCCGCCUCUACCCCCAUCCCUACCAGCCACAACGUCCCGGUCCCACCUCCCAACGCCGCAGCUCCGCAAGGCAGCAGGAGCACCAUGAACGCAAGCAACCUGAGCCUGAGCACCGACCAUGUGCGCCAUUCACUCUUUAUUGCGCCACUGCCCUCCCCUCUCGUAUCGCCUGUGGCUGUCAGCGUGGCCGGCGGCCGGGCGGGCGGGACCACGUCGCCCGCCAACCGCGGCGGCGCAGCACUCAGUCGAUGCGACCCGCAGUCGCCAAGUCCGUCGCUACGCUUCGGGACGCACGAUCCGUACAACACCUCUGCUAUUGUAGCGACGCCGUUGAUGAGCGGUGUGCCGCGCACGACAAGCUUCACGAGUCACCGCUCCCCCUCCGCAACGACGGCCCCGACCGGGCCGAGCAUCGUGCACAUGCGAAUGUGGAGCACCUCGGCGCUCGCGAAUGGCAGCGCCGGCGGUGGUGGUGGCGGCAACACCGCGAGCAGUGGCGCCUCGUUUUUGUACUGCGCCGUCGCGAACUCGGACACGAUGAGCGUAAAGUCGAGCAUGGCGGAUGUGUCGCGAGGUACUCAUGACGGCAUCGUGGUCUGGGCCGCCACUGGCGGCUCAGCUAAGCUGCCGUCGUCGUCCACAUGGGAGCACUUCCUCUGCGACCCCCAGGGCCCCUACGGCGGCUGCGCGGCGCAGCAGACUGCACGGUAUGCCCACGAGGAAGCGCCUGCACCAACAUCGACGUCGUCUUGUGCGGUUGGCGACAAUGCAGCAGACGUAUCUAGUGAAGCCGCUGACCGGCAGUACGGGUCCGAGCAGACGCCGUCCGAGCAGCCGUACGACCCCCAGCAUGACUACUCGUUCCAGCAGCACAACGUACAACGAUAUCAGGUGCAGCGUGCCGACAGCUAUGCGCCGUCGUACGAGCAGCGGCAACAGCAGCAGCCUCAUCCCCAUCCGGUACACGAGGUAACAGGACACUGCCAGCCGUUUGAGCCACAACAGCAGUACGACCAUGAGCAGCGCGAGCACGCGUAUCAGUCGGGGUACCCGCACCUUCGCCCAGAGCAGCAGCACCAGCGCGAGGCAUACGAUUAUCUGCAGCAGCAUGUCAACUCUCAACAACAAGAGCAGCAUCAUCGAUACCCAUACUCACCAGCGUUCGAGCCGCACGGCCUGUACGCGUACCAGGCAUACGCCGGGCCGCCGCAGCAUCACCCGCAUACCCAGCAGCAGCAGUAUCCACCACCGCCGGUGCCGUACUCGUACGCAUCCCAACCACAUCAUCUGCAUGUGCACGCACCCCAGCCACAACAGCAGUACGAUCAUCAGCGGCAGCAGCCACCGCAACAGUCAUAUCACACGCAAAGUUCGUACGGUGGGCGAGGCGGCAGUGCAGAUGCAGCGGCUCACAACUGGAGCGGGCCACGUAAGCGCGUGGCGCAGGAUGUGCUGCCGGGCUUCUUCUCUGUGGACACGAUCCAGCUUGGCGAUCAAACGCACCUUGUCUCGGACCGCAACGGCGUGCCGCACGAACCCAACGAGCAGCAGCAGCAGUUCUGUCUUGAGGAACCGCACGACGCCCCGUUUCUGGCCAGCGGUAGUGGUGUGGACCAUACGCCUCCGCAUUACGAAACGCGCUAUCAGAGCUGCGGACCUGCGGCUGCUCCCGACUUCGACAACAGAGGAAUCUCGCCGGCGCCGACGGCGACACCCUCCACGCCAGUUGUCCAGCAGCAGCAACAGCAGUUGGGCCGCUCCUCCAGCGUUUACUACGACACAACACCAGCGCGCGGCGCGCCGGGGGGACUACUACAACGGCUCUCGUGCAGGUGCAGAGUCCACCACAGCGGCACCUAGCACCUCCCCUUACGGCAGUGACGACGACGAGGCAAUGCGGAUUCACGGCGGUGCCAUAUACGGAUCGCAUCCCCGGCACGCCGAGCAGCAUGGAGGGAGCGCGUCGGUCAUGACGGUGGGCGGUAUGAUGGUCGCACAGCCACCGCACAUGGCGGCCCCGGUGGUCUCGCGCACGCCGAACCAGCGGACUGGCUACGCCGUGAAUAACCGAAGGGGUAGCAGCAGCGGCGGCAACAGCAACUUUAACAGUUGCACCGGCAAUGGUCGCAGCGGACCCAGCAACAAGUCAAUCCUCUUGAACAGCAACGUGAGUGGCGGUAUGAACAGUGUCGAGGUGAACGAGAGCGGCAGCUUCCGAAGCGCCAGCAGUGGAGGAGGUGCGGACAUGACGCACGUGUACAACGUCGACAAUUCGAUCGACAUCUGCGGCGGCCCUGGAGCGUUGGCGCCCACGUUACUGGAUGCAGGGCCCAAUGCGCCGGUCCGCGUCCGCUGCGGUGGUGGUGGCAUUGGCGCCAGCGCAACGACGACAAGAGUCGUGUAUAGCGGCUACCUGUAUUACCCUUCCACGAAAAAUUACGCCAUGGGGUGCACCGACAUGUACGUCUCGCAACCUGAGCGCCGCACGACGGGCUCCGCGGCGGCUACCUCGUCCUCAUGGGAAGGCGCGAGCGAGUCUCGCAGCGCCGGUGCGAUGGACGGAGGUGCCGCAACGCACCAUCAACCGUCUCACGGCCGGGCACCCAGCUUAUAGGAGUCACCCAUUACGCGGCAACGCCAGCAGCGGCACCCCACUAUGAGCAGCAGCGCCGCGGACGAGUUGCAGCCGAUGAACGGCAGAGACAACUACUUGCCGCACAUCUCCUCGCCAAGCCGGCGUCGCUCCUCCAUUCCUUCGGCGAACCAGCCGAGUAAAUACGGCGACAUGCGCCAUCCGCAGCAGCAGCAAUCCCAGGUGCUUUCACAUGUGCCGCCGCAGCUCCGAAACCCGAGCGAGGGCAGCAACAGCAACAACGUCGGUUACGCCCAAGCGAGCGCGGUACGCGGUACCGGCGCGAUGAGCGGCACCGUUGCACAGGGGGCGAGCCUGUCGGGGGCGUCAUUGCUGAACAACGACACCGGCAAGACAGCUGCCGCGCUGUCGCUGUACCCGUAUGAUGGUCGUCCCACAAAGCCUGCAAGAGAGGCCUGGGAAAAGGCGGAGGUUGGCAGGGCUGGCCCAAGAGCGGUGCCGUCGAACAUAAAAACAUUGGGCACCGGCGCGCCAACAACGCAGCAGCGGCGACACCCGCAGAAGCAGUGAUGGCGUAUUUCACGCGUCACGACGUGGCACCGGUGCGGUGACGUAGCAGAGCCUUCCCUCUUCGCAGUUCUGAGCACAUGCUAAUAUCUUGAUUGGGUCGCUGACAGACAACUCCGCCCAUGCGCGCGCACACACGCGCACACAAAUACUGUCCGUUUACCAACGGCGGCCGUGUCUUUCUCUCUCUCUCUGGCCACCUACCUUGCCCGGACGAAACAUCGGGGAAGCGAAGACAGUGAGAAAAGAACAAAAAAAAAUGCAUGCUUGUGUCCCCUGUGUACGUGGCUAUGUACACAGGCUGGUGGGGAAAACCUCUGGGCAAGCAGGCGUGUGGAUUUUGCGGUCGAUGCUACCUCUUUCACGUUGGGGCCCUACCUGCCGUUAUGUUAUAUUGCCUUACUUGGCUGGCGAACGCGGACGUAUAUACAUAUAUGUAUGUAGAUAUAUAUCUACCUACGGGUGACACACACGCACAUACAUCUCCUUCAUGCGUUGCCUUGGUUAUUAUGUUAUCGUUAUACAUCCACAGAUAUUAUAUGUGCAUAUAUCUUAUAUUUUUUUUUUGCUGUUUCUUUGUGAUCGACCUCUUCCCCGUCACCCUUCUCCACGUCUGUCUCCUUCCCCCACCCACCCCCUCUCCCUUCUACGUGUGCCAGUGGUGUUUUGGCUCCUUCUUGGUUGCGGUUAUUCUCUUUGCAUGUUGGUUCGUCAUCCCUCUCCCGUCCUCCCUCCCUAUCUCGCGCGCGCUCUACCUGUGUUGUGUGUUCGUGUUUAGCGCAUAGAGACGCACGCGCAUUUUCUCUCUCUGCAACUGUAAGGGGUAUCAAUGCGUGUCUGCGGUAGCGCACCUCUCCCAUAUCGACGCCUUCCCCCUCCCUCACGCUGCCCCUCCCUUCUCCCUCGUCAUCCUGCUCUUGCUCUCUCUCUCCCUCUAUCGUUCUUCCUUUUCGUUUUUGCUGUGGUCGCUCUUCUCCCCUUUUUUCUUGCCGUGUCUAUAUAUAUAUAUAUAUAUAUGUAUAUGUGUGUGUGUGCCUCUAUCGACCCUCUUUCCCCUUCUCCCGUUUCUCUCUCUCCUUUAGGGAUGGCCGGCCGCCUAUGUGAUUCUCGCCUUGUGUUGUCUCAUCAUCCUUGUCUCAUGUGGAUUCGCACAGCCCUCUCUCCUCGUCCUUUUAGUGGGGGGGUAUCUCUUUCCCUCCCUCCCUCUCUCUCUCGGCCACUCGUGCUCGCCGGCGGCGUCAGUCGUUUAUCGUUGUGUAGCCGAUGCUGAUGGCGUUCUUCAUUCGAGCCUUUUUCGCUCUCUCUCUCCCUGUGUGUGUGUGUGUGUGUGUAUUCUUCCUUCACGUGCGCGUGUAUGCCUGUGUGACUGUCUUUGAUAUGGGCGGGUUCUCCACGACGUCUCUUCGUUCUCCCUCUCGCCUCUCUUUGUACUGUUCGCUCUCGUGUUGGUCAUCUUGCCAAUGACAGUUCUUUGACUUUUUUGGGGGGAAGCAGGGGGGGCGCAGGGGUAUUUAGUGUUCUCUAGGUGAAUGCCUCUUGUUAUUACCAUUUCUACCCUCUCCCUCGCCGUCUCCAUCCACAUACACACAUGCGCGCGCGCGAAUAAAAAGAAAAAAAAAAAUAAAACGAUCGCUCGUUUCGUGUGUAUGUGUCUGUGUAUGGGACGUUUGGCUCCGUUACGGCCGCUGCCCCCUCCCUCCUCAUAUAUCGUCUCAGCCUUCGCGUGGUGGCUAGUGACCGUUUUCGUUUCGAGGGAUUUCCCUUUUCUGUCUGUGUUCGCUGUCGUCCAUCUAUCGUUUUGUGUCGUCGUUCUCUUCGCACAAUAUGCCCCCCCCCUCUCUCUUCUUGUGGUGGAUGGCUGUGGUGGUGCUCUCCUCGGCCUCAUCAACCCCCACCGACCCGCCGUUGCACUUCCUCUUUCGUCUUUGUUGGGGGGAGGGAGGGAGGGAGGUGGCCCAUGUAAGUGUGCGUGUGUGUAUACCCGUUGCUGUGGGUUUAACGGCAGGACUCUCCCCGUGCUGACCGGCGUGCCGUGCCGAGAGGAGGGAAAGGGUGCCGCUAUCGGAUGACGAGGAUAGUAAUGCAAUUUCUACUGCCACCGAAAGUGCUGCUUAUCGUUUUACACGCGUGCGCACACCUCACCUCCCUCCUCCUCCUCCUCUCCCCCUCCUUCGCCUCAUUCUUCAAAUAAAAAGGAGAUUGGAAAACAGGUGAGAGCGUUUGCUGUGUUGUUGCGACGCCGCUCGGCGUUCUUCGGGUGCACCUCUCUCUCUGUCGGGAGGGUUCUUGUUCCUCCGUGUCUUGUCUCUCUCUCACUCCUGUGCUACUUCUUUUUUCUUUGUGCGUGUGCAUAUCUUCCUAUGUCUAUGUGCGUGCGUGUGUGUGUGUGUGUCAAGGGAAUGGGGAAGAGGAGCUGUGUGCUCCUCUUCUCCGGUUCUGAUCAGCACCACUCACCCUCCUCUUCCCCUGUCUCUAUAAACCACAUUGCUCGUCACGAAGGUCUCUGUCUAUCGCUACAGGGUAAGGUAAGGGGGGAGGGGCUCUGUGGAGAGGUUCCAAGAGCUACGAAGGCAUGUCACCGGUGAAUCGCCUGUCCUCUCUCUCUCUCUGUUUGCCGACCGUCAUGAAGGUGCUGAUAGUGGAAAGGCCAACUUGCGGCAAAGAAAAAGGUGAAGGAGAGGGGGAGGGGGCGGGGCGACGGUGGGCAAGCGGCGACUCUUCCCCCCACACCCCACCGUCACCCCCCCCCAGACCCGCCGCUGGGCGAACCACCUCUGUGCUCCUCUCUCUCUUUCUGUGUGUGUAUGUGUGUGUAUCUGCUUUGCUUGUCUCGUUGAUGGUGCCCCUAUGUGUUUUGUGCUUCUUCUCUCUCUCCUAACACCGACUGGAUCUCCUCCCUCCCCCCCCCCCGUAAGGGCACUUGUGUGCGCGUGUGUGCACUCUCUCGCCCUGCUCCUGUCUCUGUCUCCUCCCUCUGAACAGCACCAUUUAAGCGGCCAAGAGAGUAAGCGCUGAAGUGGGAAAAAAAAAACGGAGUUCACCAAAAACAAACAUUUUUUUUUCUGGAGUGGGGAGGGGGGGGGACAGCAGCUUGUGGCGCACAGCACCGCCAUCGGAAUGCGCGCCAUGACAGCACUGCAUAGCCGCCGCUGGACCAUAGCUGUGUUAG
rnacentral:misc_RNA from 1 species